GACGAAGGGGGCUAGCGUUGUUCGGAAUUACUGGGCGUAGAGCGAGUGUAGGCGGUUGCCCAAGUCAGGUGUGAAAGCCUUGAGCUCAACUCAAGAAAUGCACUUGGUACUGGGUGGCUAGAGGACCGGAGAGGAUAGUGGAAUUCCCAGUGUAGUGGUGAAAUACGUAGAGAUUGGGAAGAACACCAGUGGCGAAGGCGGCUAUCUGGACGGUUACUGACGCUAAGACUCGAAAGCGUGGGGAGCAAACAGG
rnacentral:rRNA from 1 species